rnacentral:rRNA from 1 species
GACGAACGCUGGCGGCGUGCUUAACACAUGCAAGUCGAACGCUGAAGCUUGGUGCUUGUACUGUGUGGAUGAGUGGCGAACGGGUGAGUAACACGUGUGGAAUCUGCCUUUGAUUGGGGGAUAAGCUUGGGAAACUGGUUCUAAUACCGGAUACGAACUGUCACCGCAUGGUGGUAUGUGGAAAGGCGUUUAUUGGUUAUGGAUGGGCGGACGGCCUAUGUGCUUGCUGGUGGGGUAAUUGACUACCAAGGCGACGGCGGGUAGCCGGCCUGAGUGUGUGACCGGCCACACUGGGACUGAGAGACGACCCAGACUGCUACGGGAGGCAGCAGUGGGGAAUAGUGCACAAUGGGCGGCAGCCUGAUGCAGCGACGCCGGGUGAGGGAUGACGGCCUUCGGGUUGUAAACCUCUUUCGGCUGGGAAGAAGCGAGAGUGACGGUAAGUGCAGAAGAAGCGACGGCUAACUACGUG